CCACCACUGGGGCAUUUACAACUUCAGGGACCGGCACCACUCUAGCCCUAGGAACAACUCUGACUCGUACAACUCCUGCAACUACAACACCUUCAUGUGUGGAAGGACCAGAUCCCAAUGACAAUUGUACUCAUUACACGUGUAAAAAUGGUGUACCAACGACCCAUGAAAUAGAAUGUGGCAAACAGGAGAACUGUUCUGAGUCUGAAAAGAAGUGGGAUGAUUAUAAAUGCUGCUAUUCAUGUCCUGUGCGGCCAGCAGAAUCAACG